rnacentral:rRNA from 1 species
AGCAGCCGCCGCGGUAAUACAGAGGGUGCGAGCGUUAAUCGGAUUUACUGGGCGUAAAGCGUGCGUAGGCGGCUAAUUGAGUCGGAUGUGAAAUCCCCGAGCUUAACUUGGGAAUUGCAUUCGAUACUGGUUAGCUAGAGUGUGGGAGAGGAUGGUAGAAUUCCAGGUGUAGCGGUGAAAUGCGUAGAGAUCUGGAGGAAUACCGAUGGCGAAGGCAGCCAUCUGGCCUAACACUGACGCUGAGGUACGAAAGCAUGGGGAGCAAACAGGAUUAGAUACCCCCGUAGUCCCUGUCUCUUAUAC